GGCUUUGUAGUUUACAUAGAAUUUUAAAUUGCAAGUUUAAAGGCACAUAAUUGUUAAAGCUU
rnacentral:tRNA from 1 species